AACAGCCAGUGGUGACAGCUGCAACCAGCUCUGAGACAGACCAGCACUGCCUGCAGUAAGAUGCCUCUGCAGGGCUGAGCAGAUUCUCCUCCCAUUUUCCUCAAAACAACCCCUGCUAUGGACCUGGCCCAGGACCCUCUUCCUGGAAAGGCUGCUGUCCCCCUUCUCUCCUGGUUAUAAGUAACCAAAAAACCCAAAUAAAUCUUUGCUACAUUGGAAACACUUUGGGUUUACAUCUCACCUCCAGUCUGAGAAGAUGUUUCACUGACUUCUCUAAGAUACUCCAGCAAACCAUCAAAUAUUUCAAGGAGGUUUUUGAUAGACUCCCUGUCUCCUUUCACAAUGUUCUCACCUGAAGAGAAGUGUAUAACCUGAUGUCCAAGGCAGUGGGUCAAUGUUCUGGUGACAUCCAUACCAUAAGAAGAGAUUCCAUGCAAGUCUGAGAGCAAGCUGUGUAACACCUGGUUCCUAAAGUGUUUAAAUCAAACCACACAAAUGUUCAACUGCAUUUGUCUCAUUAAACCAAGUACUUACCUGUGA